AGUGAACGCUGGCGGUAGGCCUAACACAUGCAAGUCGAACGGCAGCACAGUAAGAGCUUGCUCUUACGGGUGGCGAGUGGCGGACGGGUGAGGAAUACAUCGGAAUCUACUUUUUCGUGGGGGAUAACGUAGGGAAACUUACGCUAAUACCGCAUACGACCUACGGGUGAAAGCAGGGGAUCUUCGGACCUUGCGCGAUUGAAUGAGCCGAUGUCGGAUUAGCUAGUUGGCGGGGUAAAGGCCCACCAAGGCGACGAUCCGUAGCUGGUCUGAGAGGAUGAACAGCAAAACUGAACAUGAGAACCGGUCCAGACCCCGAGGGGGGGCAGAGGGGGGGAAUUGUGGAAAAGGGGGGAAAGCCUGAUCCAGCCAUACCGGGUGGGUGAAGAAGGCCUUGGGGUUGGAAAGCCCUUUUGUGGGGAAAAAAAAGAAGCAGGUUAAAACCCCGCUGUUUUGACGGUACCAAAAAAAAAAGCACCGGCAAACUUCGU
rnacentral:rRNA from 1 species